CCUUCGAUUCGGCUUUUGCUUCAUUUAGUUUAAGGGUUGCAGAAAACAUUUGCUGCAGAUUCCUCUCCCUCCAUUGAUGCACACGAUGGAGCGGCAUAAAGUCUUGAGGCAUCAACCGCUGGUUGAAGAAUGUGUCAAGCGCCAGCAGCGUAUGUUGAAGCCAGACAUAAAAGAGUAAUCAAGAGGCGGAUGGAAAUUUUGAUCGCCAUAGACUUUUCAGAAAGGGAUGAGGACAAUCCGAGCUUGCUAAGAUACAUACCCCGAUGGCCGCACACCAGAUUCUCGUUCUAGUUUUCCAUCCCUCAUCUCUUCCGAGACAAAAAGGGGGGAUAAAACAUCCUUUGAUAAGGCAUUUUGUAUUGGAAUUUAAGUUAGAUGCCAUUCUUUUUGCUUGUUUGGUGAUACAAAAUAUGUCAAAAAUCAUACCUGAACCCUUAACUCAAACUGUCUGCUCAUAGAA